UAUGACCAUAUCACAUUGAAACAUCAGUUCCCAUAUGAUCACUGUAGUUAAGCAAUGUCGAGCCCAAUCAGUACCUUGAUGGGUGACUGCUUGGAAAUAUCAAGUGCUGUAAG